UACAGAGGGUGCGAGCGUUAAUCGGAAUUACUGGGCGUAAAGCGUGCGCAGGCGGUUCCGCAAGUCAGAUGUGAAAUCCCCGGGCUCAACCUGGGAACUGCAUUUGAAACUACGGAGCUAGAGUGUGUCAGAGGGGGGUAGAAUUCCACGUGUAGCAGUGAAAUGCGUAGAGAUGUGGAGGAAUACCGAUGGCGAAGGCAGCCCCCUGGGAUGACACUGACGCUCAUGCACGAAAGCGUGGGGAGCAAACAGG
rnacentral:rRNA from 1 species